GACCGAUUGGCGCAAUGGUAGCGUGUGGACCUCCUACACUGAAAGCAACUAGUUUGCUCGUGUGAGUCCGAGGUUGCGGGUUCGAGUCCCGUGUCGGUCG